CCUACCGGUGGCUGCAGUGGGGAAUAUUGGACAAUGGGGGCAACCCUGAUCCAGCCAUGCCGCGUGUGUGAAGAAGGCCCUCGGGUUGUAAAGCACUUUCAGUGAGGAAGAACGCCUGGUGGUUAAUACCCAUCAGGAAAGGCAUCACUCACAGAAGAAGCACCGGCUAACUCCGUGCCAGCAGCCGCGGUAAUACGGAGGGUGCGAGCGUUAAUCGGAAUUACUGGGCGUAAAGCGCGCGUAGGUGGCUUGAUAAGCCGGUUGUGAAAGCCCCGGGCUCAACCUGGGAACGGCAUCCGGAACUGUCAAGCUAGAGUGCAGGAGAGGAAGGUAGAAUUCCCGGUGUAGCGGUGAAAUGCGUAGAGAUCGGGAGGAAUACCAGUGGCGAAGGCGGCCUUCUGGACUGACACUGACACUGAGGUGCGAAAGCGUGGGUAGCAAACAGGAUUAGAUACCCCUGUAGUC
rnacentral:rRNA from 1 species